rnacentral:sRNA from 1 species
GGUGGGCGGGGACGGGAAGGAGUGUGUGAAGUUUCUGACGUUUAUAAAUUAAACAAGCAAAAUGCUGAAACGUCAGCAGAACUGAACCAAACUGAAAUGGACUGAACUGAACUGAACUGAAAACUGGAAGAGAGGUGAACGAGCCCCAGGCGGCAUUUCCUAUUGACUUUGCUAAUUGACUGCAAAAGUGAAGGGACAAGGGGUGCGGGGGAAAGCGGGGUAAAUGGCGUGAAAAAGCUGGGACUAGGUGAGUUAAAUCUGUAUAAACAUUCGGGGUUUAGUUUGGACACACAACAUAUUAUGCAGAAAAUAUAUGUAGGCCAGAUUAUUAGGCUCUUUAUCACAUUCAAAUGAAUGAGCUCUUGCCAUUUGUAAACUUGUCAAAAUGAAUUAUCAUAAAUUAAUCCCAACUUUCUGUUUAGUUGGGCUGUUGAACCCAAUAGAUCAUUUCUUAAUCGGAUACAACAACAACAACAACAUUUUGUUCAAGUGGCGGCAAUUGGAAGUGAAGUCUUGAAUAGAUAAUCAAGCUUGACUCCUUUGUGUGGAGUGUGUCACAAGCUCACACAUUCUGCUGUAUAUUCCCAUGGGUAUCAUCGGGCAUAUGGUAAUCGUUAGAUGCAUAUUCAAGACCCUGAUCCGAGACGCCUGCACAUAUGUCAGGCGAACAGAGGAGGAAACAUAUAUCACCGGCGCGUUGGUAAUGCCCAAUUUAAAUAGAGAAGAGCAAACAGACAUUUGAUUGCGUAGAAGAGGAGCAUUAGGCGGCGGCGGCAGUUCCCCCUUCUCCUCCAGCUGCCAUUUCCCAUCUUUAGAAAUGGGAAAAAAAAAGAAUGAGUGGAACACCCCACGUGAAAUCAAAACCCACUUGCAGUUGCAGUUGCCAGCUGCCAGCUGCUGUGUCUUCAGCUUCUGCUGAUGACGCUGAUGGUGGAACUUUGCUGCAGCGUUUGAGUUCCGAGUUGCAAGUUGGUGUUGCGAGUGGGCGGGGCAGGGGGCGUUUCGGAGUCACACGUAUAGAAAGAUAUGGGGGGGAAUCCGCCUGAUGAGGCGGAAGUGAAAGCGACCAAGCAGAAUUAAACCGCUUCCUCCCUUUUAUCCCAAUCUGCCAGCUCGAGCUUUUGUUUGCCAGAGCAGUAGCACCCAUCAUACGUGGAUACUCUUGAUAUGGUAAGGGAUUUAAAAAAAAGUGGAUAAAUAUUUUAUUUUAAAAAACAAUGUGUUUGAAUUCCCAACAAGCAUUUCAAAUUAGGCAUUUUAAUUCAUUAAGCAAGUUAGGUAAUUUGCUCUUUAAUUUUUCUUGUUCUUUCAAAGACAUAAUUUAUGCCCCUAUUAACACCAAUCUUCUGUUAGCCAUCCAAUGAACUGGUUUGGUAUAAAGUUAAUAUAUCUAGAUAAGUGGAAACAUUUACUAUUCGAUAACUUUAUCUAUCGGUCAAAGAUCGCUACAUCGAUAAGAUAUAAAAAGCUAACCAAAUGACAUUUAAACAAGAAGAAUUCAUAUGUUUUUCACACAUGAAAUAUAAAGAGUAUUUGUAGUAUUUGUUAUACGAUUGUUAUAGAGUGUGAAUGCAAUUCUGAACGAUUUAAAACUUAAAAUCCCAGCCCGUUAAAGGGUAAUAAAGCAGUCUGCAGUUUCGGAUUCUUGAGUGUGUUUUUUUUUUUAUUUUUUUUAUUACAUUCUGUUUUGGCAAGCCGUGGCUGCGCCUUAACCCAAAAAAUCCCGAGUUGCGUUCAAGUUUUUGGUCAAUUUAACACGCCUUGCCACGCUCUGUUUGCGACCCGCCAAUUGUUGUUUAUAAGCAAAAAAAAAAAGAAAAAA